CAGCAGGCUACGGGCCAGCUCCAUGUGGGAACUGUUUCUAGGGUGCACUGAGCAGCCUGCUGGGGCAGAGUGGAGGUCGGAAUGGUGGCCAGAGGCUGUAUUGAGAGACACGACUUCCCUCCUCCUCAGCUUCCCCACAUGCCUUUAGAUCCACCCUCCUGUCUUUCCUUCUUUUUUCUUUUCCUUUUUUUUCUCAUUUUGCCUUCUCCCCUUCCCCUUCUUUGUUCCUGCUCAGGCUUUCUUUCUCCUCUUUUUUUUUGAGACAGGAUCUUGCUCUUUUGUCCAGGCAGGGGUGCAGUGGUACGAUCACAGCUUGCUGCAGCCUCAACCUCCUGGGCUCAAGUGAUCCUCCCACCUUCGUCUCCCAACACUUUGGGAAGCUGAGGAGGGCGGAUCAUGAGGUCAGGAGAUCGAGACCAACCUGGCUAAUAUGGUGAAACCCUGCCUGUCUCUACUAAAAAUACAAAAAAAUAAAAUUAGCUGGGCGUGGUGGCAGGCGCCUGUAGUCCCAGCUACUCGGGAGGCUGAGGCAGGAGAAUGGUGUGAACCCGGGAGGUGGAGCUUGUAGUGAGCCGAGAUUGUGCCACUGCACUUCAGCCUGGGUGACAGUGCGAGACUCCCUCUCAAAAAAAAUAAAAAUAAAAA
rnacentral:lncRNA from 10 species